rnacentral:rRNA from 1 species
UACAGAGGGUGCGAGCGUUAAUCGGAAUUACUGGGCGUAAAGCGCACGUAGGCGGCUUUGCAAGUCGGGUGUGAAAUCCCCGGGCUCAACCUGGGAACUGCAUCCGAGACUGCUUUGCUCGAGUAUGGGAGAGGGAAGUGGAAUUUCCGGUGUAGCGGUGAAAUGCGUAGAUAUCGGAAGGAACAUCAGUGGCGAAGGCGACUUCCUGGACCAAUACUGACGCUCAGGUGCGAAAGCGUGGGGAGCAAAC